rnacentral:rRNA from 1 species
UACAGAGGGUGCGAGCGUUGUUCGGAAUUACUGGGCGUAAAGCGUGCGUAGGCGGUUGGCAAAGUCAGCUGUGAAAGCCCCGGGCUUAACCUGGGAAUGGCGGUUGAAACUAGUCGACUAGAAUCUGGCAGAGGGGGGUGGAAUUCCACGGUGGUAGCAGUGAAAUGCGUAGAUAAUCGUGGAGGAAUACGGUGGCGAAGGCGGCGAUGCCUA